rnacentral:lncRNA from 1 species
UUAUAGUCUCAGAAAACGGGUGUCUUCUGGCUGGCGUUUCCACAGCGACACCGGAAGUCUCAGGUAUCUUCCUUUGUGUAACCCCGAAACUCUCUUCCUUGUUCUCUCUUUCAUUAACGAAGUUUCUCGGGGAAGUAUUUAACACUGUUUCUCCAUUCAAUCUUUGUCUCAUGUAAGCAUUCUCAGCUCUCAACAUGCUCAACUCCUCUUCAUUACUCUUCUUCAGUGUCUCAAAUUCCUCUUGCAAUUGUAUUAACAUGGCCAUAGUCAUGGCGUUCUGACAAUCUUCUUGUUCUCUAGAAUGUUCUCCUCUUUCGCUCAUUUUGUUUCUCGACCCCACGGUGGGCGCCAAAAUGUUCUUACAAGGACCUAGAAACAAACUCCCUUCGCCUUCCACCCGUUGACCUCUCGGCCUUCGCUUCCGGACUCCCUUCUCGGUGUGAUCUUUCGGCUUAUUUGUUCUUGGUUUGUAUUUGGUUCGAAAAUCUUUCACGUUUUAUUGAAUUGCUUGACGGACACUUCCCGGUCAACUUUAAUUUACUCCAUUUGAUCUUUCGGUUUUUGGUCUCGGCUUCCUCUCACAGAUGGGUGUGCGUACCUGAAAGGUGCUCCGAUGCCAAAGUUAGAUUCAGUUUUACAAGAUAUUAGAAUGAAUUCAACCCCCUUACCUCUCAGGAUGACCCUCUAUUUAUACUACUCUUUUAUUGGGCCCAGAAGUUAUUUGGGCCUUUUCUCUUUGUAUUAAACAUUUACUACACACACCUACAUAUUUGGGCCCAGUUUCAUGGGCUUUUGCUUAAUAAUAAUUUCCAUUCUAUUUUAUUUCUUUCGUUAUUUAGUUUACUUUCGGGUUGAGCUCUCGGCUUAGUACACAUUCCUUUCGGUCCAAUCUCUCGGCCCAGUACA